UUUAUACGUCGAAUUUUGGUCGUGUCGAAUGCAAUGAAGACGAUAAACCUCAUUAUUUUUCAUUAUCUAUCGUUUGAAUUGCAUUCGACGCGACCGAAAUUCGACGUAUAGG